rnacentral:rRNA from 1 species
UACGUAGGGUGCAAGCGUUGUCCGGAAUUAUUGGGCGUAAAGAGCUCGUAGGCGGUCUGUCGCGUCUGCUGUGAAAACUCAGGGCUUAACCCUGAGCUUGCAGUGGGUACGGGCAGACUAGAGUGCGGUAGGGGAGACUGGAAUUCCUGGUGUAGCGGUGAAAUGCGCAGAUAUCAGGAGGAACACCCGGUGGCGAAGGCGGGGUCUCUGGGCCGUAACUGACGCUGAGGAGCGAAAGCGUGGGGGAGCGAACAGG